AAAGUUUGAUCCUGGCUCAGGAUGAACGCUGGCGGCGUGCCUAACACAUGCAAGUCGAACGCUGGCACAUUUGGAGCUUGCUUUAGAUGUGCCGGAGUGGCGGACGGGUGAKUAAUACGUGAGAACUUAUCCAUAGGAGGGGGACAACCUUGAGAAAUCAGGGCUAAUACCCCGUAAGCCGAGAGGUGAAAGGAGCAAUCCGYCUAUGGAGAGGCUCGCGUCCUAUCAGGUAKUUGGUGAGGUAAAGGCUCACCAAGCCGAAGACGGGUAGCCGGACUGAGAGGUUGACCGGCCACAUUGGAACUGAGAGACGGUCCAGACUCCUACGGGAGGCAGCAGUGGGGAAUAUUGGGCAAUGGGCGGAAGCCUGACCCAGCGACGCCGCGUGAGGGAAGACGGCCCUAGGGUUGUAAACCUCUGUUGCAGGGGAAGAAGGAAKUGACGGUACCCUGCGAGGAAGCUCCGGCAAACUACGUUGCCAGCAGCCGCGGUAAUACGUAAGGAGCGAGCGUUGUCUGGAAUUACUGGGCGUAAAGGGCGCGUAUGCUGAUACAUAAGUCCAKUGUAAAAGGCUCAGGCAUCAACCCUGARUAAKCACAAAKAAACUGUGUAAUCUCGAAGSCAUGGAGAGGCAAACGGAAUUUCCUGG
rnacentral:rRNA from 1 species